rnacentral:rRNA from 1 species
AACGAACGCUGGCGGCAUGCCUAACACAUGCAAGUCGAACGAGACCUUCGGGUCUAUUGGCGCACGGGUGCGUAACGCGUGGGAACCUGCCCUUAGGUUCGGAAUAACUCCCCGAAAGGGGUGCUAAUACCGGAUAAUGUCUUCGGACCAAAGAUUUAUCGCCUUUGGAUGGGCCCGCGUUGGAUUAGCUAGUUGGUAGGGUAAAAGCCUACCAAGGCGACGAUCCAUAGCUGGUCUGAGAGGAUGAUCAGCCACACUGGGACUGAGACACGGCCCAGACUCCUACGGGAGGCAGCAGUGGGGAAUAUUGGACAAUGGGCGAAAGCCUGAUCCAGCAAUGCCGCGUGAGUGAUGAAGGCAUUAGGGUUGUAAAGCUCUUUUACCCGGGAUGAUAAUGACAGUACCGGGAGAAUAAGCUCCGGCUAACUCCGUG